rnacentral:rRNA from 1 species
AUUGAACGCUGGCGGAAUGCUUUACACAUGCAAGUCGAACGGCAGCACGGGGGCAACCCUGGUGGCGAGUGGCGGACGGGUGAGUAAUGCAUCGGAACGUGCCCUGAAGUGGGGGAUAACGCAGCGAAAGCUACGCUAAUACCGCAUAUUCUGUGAGCAGGAAAGCAGGGGAUCGCAAGACCUUGCGCUUUGGGAGCGGCCGAUGUCGGAUUAGCUAGUUGGUGGGGUAAAGGCCUACCAAGGCGACGAUCCGUAGCGGGUCUGAGAGGAUGAUCCGCCACACUGGGACUGAGACACGGCCCAGACUCCUACGGGAGGCAGCAGUGGGGAAUUUUGGACAAUGGGCGAAAGCCUGAUCCAGCCAUUCCGCGUGCAGGAUGAAGGCCCUCGGGUUGUAAACUGCUUUUGUACGGAACGAAACGGUCCUGGUUAAUACCUGGGGCUAAUGCGGUACCGUAAGAAUAAGCACCGGCUAACUACGUGCCAGCAGCCGCGGUAA